UACGGAGGGUGCAAACGUUGCUCGGAAUCAUUGGGCGUAAAGCGCACGUAGGCGGUCCAGCAAGUCGGGUGUGAAAGCCCUCGGCUUAACCGAGGAAGUGCAUUCGAAACUACUGGACUUGAAUACUGAAGAGGAUCGCGGAAUUCCCGGUGUAGAGGUGAAAUUCGUAGAGAUCAGGAGGAACACCCGUGGCGAAAGCGGCCCCCUGGGUCGGCCCUGACGCUGAGGCGCGAAAGCGUGGGGAGCGAACGGG
rnacentral:rRNA from 1 species